rnacentral:rRNA from 1 species
UACAGAGGUCUCAAGCGUUGUUCGGAUUCAUUGGGCGUAAAAGGGUGCGUAGGCGGCGCGGUAAGUCGGGUGUGAAAUCUCGGGGCUUAACUCCGAAACUGCAUUCGAUACUGCCGUGCUUGAGGACUGGAGAGGAGACUGGAAUUUACGGUGUAGCGGUGAAAUGCGUAGAUAUCGUAAGGAAGACCAGUGGCGAAGGCGGGUCUCUGGACAAGUUCCUGACGCUGAGGCACGAAGGUCAGGGAGCAAACGGG